rnacentral:rRNA from 1 species
CGACCUGGUGAUUAUGGCGGGGUGGCUGCACCCGAUCCCAUUCCGAACUCGGCCCUGAAACGCCCCAGCGCCAAUGGUACUCUGUCUUAAGACGCGGGAGAGUAGGCCGCCGCCAGGU